AGGACGAACGCUGGCGGCGUGCUUAACACAUGCAAGUCGAGCGGAAAGGCCCUUCGGGGUACUCGAGCGGCGAACGGGUGAGUAACACGUGAGUAACCUGCCCCUAGCUUCGGGAUAGCUCCGGGAAACCGGAAUUAAUACCGGAUAUGACCACGGCCGACAUCGGCCACGGUGGAAAGAUUCAUCGGCUAGGGAUGGGCUCGCGGCCUAUCAGCUUGUUGGUGGGGUAACAGCCUACCAAGGCGACGACGGGUAGCCGGCCUGAGAGGGCGACCGGCCACGACUGGGACUGAGACACGGCCCAGACUCCUACGGGAGGCAGCAGUGGGAAUAUUGCGCAAUGGGCGAAAGCCUGACGCAGCGACGCCGCGUGGGGGAUGAAGGCCUUCGGGUUGUAAACCCCUUUCGGCAGGGACGAAGCGAAAGUGACGGUACCUGCAGAAGAAGCGCCGGCUAACUACGUGCCAGCAGCCGC
rnacentral:rRNA from 1 species